rnacentral:rRNA from 1 species
GACGAACGCUGGCGGCGUGCUUAACACAUGCAAGUCGAACGAAGUGGCGCACGGGUGAGUAACGCGUAAUCAACCUGCCCUUCAGAGGGGGAUAACAGUUGGAAACGACUGCUAAUACCGCAUGCUGAAGGAGGGGAUUGCGUCUGAUUAGCUAGUUGGAGGGGUAACGGCCCACCAAGGCGAUGAUCAGUAGCCGGGCUGUGAGGAUGAACGGCCACAUCGGGACUGCGACACGGCCCAGAAUCCUACGGGAGGCAGCAGUGGGGAAACUUCCGCAAUGGACGACAGUCUGACGGAGCAAAGCCGCGGGAGUUAUGACGGCCUUCGGGUUGUAAAGCUCUGUUAAUCGGGACGCGGUACCGGAAUAGAAAGCCACGGCUAACUACGUGCCAGCAGCCGCGGUAAUAC